CUACGGGAGGCAGCAGUGGGGAAUCUUAGACAAUGGGCGCAAGCCUGAUCUAGCCAUGCCGCGUGAGUGAUGAAGGCCUUAGGGUCGUAAAGCUCUUUCGCUGGGGAAGAUAAUGACGGUACCCAGUAAAGAAACCCCGGCUAACUCCGUGCCAGCAGCCGCGGUAAUACGGAGGGGGUUAGCGUUGUUCGGAAUUACUGGGCGUAAAGCGCGCGUAGGCGGACUGUUAAGUCGGGGGUGAAAUCCCGGGGCUCAACCCCGGAACGGCCUUCGAUACUGGCAGUCUGGAGUUCGAGAGAGGUGAGUGGAAUUCCGAGUGUAGAGGUGAAAUUCGUAGAUAUUCGGAGGAACACCAGUGGCGAAGGCGGCUCACUGGCUCGAUACUGACGCUGAGGUGCGAAAGUGUGGGGAGCAAACAGGAUUAGAUACCCCGGUAGUC
rnacentral:rRNA from 1 species